rnacentral:rRNA from 1 species
AGGCUCUCUGCCUUCCCAACUUGUACCUGAUAAUUCUAUGGGAUUUAGACAAACGUGCUUCGGCAAAAGAAAUAUCAAACGAUAAGCUUAUCCCCUCCCGCGUCGCUCCCGCGGGCGACGGGGAGGACGACCGCACCAUCGCCGCCAGCACACCCCUCCUCCCGCUUCCUUCUCGCCGCCGCCGGUGGCGGGCCCCUCUGGUUUCAGUCGGGGGCUGCAGGCAGGCUGGGGCUGGUCGUGAUGGAUGUGUGCCGGAUGGAUCUGGCGCUUUUUUCGGGCGGGCAACGCAGGUUGGGGCAGCGGCCCGGUGUGCGGCUGCUCCGGCUGUGGGCGGCGGCGGCGAGGUGGCUCGUCUCUCUUGGUGUGGCGGCUUCCUUUCGCUGUGUCCGCAUCACGGCAGUUUGGCAGGUCGGCUGCGGCGCCGGCUUGUUUUUCGGCGGCCCGUUUCGACCUUCAGUCCCUCUCCUCGUCGUCGGGUCGCUACCCUCGUCGAAGGUUCGGCCCUCCCCCGGCUACGAUCUAUCGCUCGUCUCACGCUCGGCUGCAGGACCGAGCUCGUCUCGCGCCCGGCAGCAGGACGAGUCGAUGGAGGCAUUGGGGGCAGCCCGGGGGUGCGAAAGGCGGGUCCUUUCUGCCCACAUCUUUGGUGGGGGUAGCGGUGGGUCUCAAGUGAGGUGGGGUCCGGGUCUUGGAUGUCGCGGCGGCGGCCCUGGUGGUGGUUUCGCGGUGCUCAUGGGCAGAGCCUGUGGCUAGGUGCUGCCCGGUGGCCAUGGUCGUGUGAGCGGCGCGGUCGCUGGGAUGUGGCGUUCGGUGGUGGUGAUUGUUGGCCGGGGUGAAAACCUGUUCUAUCUUCGGACGGACCGGCAACGGCGAAGCUCGUUCCCUUCUUGAAGGCGUCGUCGUGGCUCUCAUUACCCGUCGUGUUGCUCCAGGGGAAACUCUGAUCCUCGGGUCAAGCGGUGGCGGCGCUCCGUUGUCGUAUCCUUCCUGAAGGCGCCGUCUUGGAGCAGAUGGUUCGUCGUAUGUGGCUUCAUCUCUUCGCGGUGGCGUGUUCACGGUUAAGGACCCUGGUUGCUCUUGCAGCGCUAGGGUUGUUGUUGCGCUCAGCGCCUAUGUAUCAUGUCUUGGGUGUGUGCGUGUGUGGUGUUGGCGGGUGUUUGUACCGGGUUGUCGAGAAUCAUAGGGUUGUCGAGAAUCAUAGCUUUAUAUAUAAAGCGGGGCGAAAGCCUUUUUAGGUAUAAGUUGAUACAAAAAUGGCACUUAGCUUCAUCAUGAAUCCCAGGGAAGGAGUUAAUGUAAGGGAACUGGAGGCCCCAAACAAAGGUUUUGGCAUAACAGAAAAUACAAAGUAACACAAAGGCUAUGCUGCUCUGCUAGCUAUUACAUGUUUCCACCUAUAAGUACAUACUCGAUACAACUAUAUAACACCCGCCCAACGCUGUCUUCAUAGCAGUAGCAGAGCACGGGAUUGCGUGGGAUUUAGGGACGACGACGAACCUUGUGCAAGGGCACAGCAAAUUAGGUUGGGAGGAACUGUUGCUGCACAAGCCGCCAUGUCCAAAAAUGGCAGACUGUCGGCAAGAUCAGGCAUGGCAGCGUGGGGCUCGAGCAGUCGCCGGAGCAUGGUGGGGAAGGGGAUGAGGCGU